UGGGCAUGAUGGUACAUACCUUUAAUCCC
rnacentral:piRNA from 1 species